AGAGUUUGAUUCUGGCUCAGAUUGAACGCUGGCGGCAGGCUUAACACAUGCAAGUCGAGCGGAUGAAGGUAGCUUGCUACUGGAUUCAGCGGCGGACGGGUGAGUAAUGCUUAGGAAUCUGCCUAUUAGUGGGGGACAACAUCUCGAAAGGGAUGCUAAUACCGCAUACGUCCUACGGGAGAAAGCAGGGGAUCUUCGGACCUUGCGCUAAUAGAUGAGCCUAAGUCGGAUUAGCUAGUUGGUGGGGUAAAGGCCUACCAAGGCGACGAUCUGCAGCGGGUCUGAGAGGAUGAUCCGCCACACUGGGACUGAGACACGGCCCAGACUCCUACGGGAGGCAGCAGUGGGGAAUAUUGGACAAUGGGGGCAACCCUGAUCCAGCCAUGCCGCGUGUGUGAAGAAGGCCUUUUGGUUGUAAAGCACUUUAAGCGAGGAGGAGGCUUACCUGGUUAAUACCCGGGAUAAGUGGACGUUACUCGCAGAAUAAGCACCGGCUAACUCUGUGCCAGCAGCCGCGGUAAUACAGAGGGUGCGAGCGUUAAUCGGAUUUACUGGGCGUAAAGCGCGCGUAGGCGGCUUUUUAAGUCGGAUGUGAAAUCCCCGAGCUUAACUUGGGAAUUGCAUUCGAUACUGGGAAGCUAGAGUAUGGGAGAGGAUGGUAGAAUUCCAGGUGUAGCGGUGAAAUGCGUAGAGAUCUGGAGGAAUACCGAUGGCGAAGGCAGCCACCUGGCCUAAUACUGACGCUGAGGUGCGAAAGCAUGGGGAGCAAACAGGAUUAGAUACCCUGGUAGUCCAUGCCGUAAACGA
rnacentral:rRNA from 1 species